CUACAGAGGGUGCGAGCGUUAAUCGGAAUUACUGGGCGUAAAGCGCGCGUAGGCGGCUGAUUAAGUCAGAUGUGAAAUCCCAGGGCUCAACCUUGGAACUGCAUCUGAUACUGGUCAGCUAGAGUUUAUGAGAGGGAAGUAGAAUUUCAGGUGUAGCGGUGAAAUGCAUAGAUAUCUGAAGGAAUACCAGUGGCGAAGGCGGCUUCCUGGCCUAAAACUGACGCUGAGGUGCGAAAGCGUGGGUAGCAAACGGGAUUAGAAACCCCGGUAGUCC
rnacentral:rRNA from 1 species